rnacentral:lncRNA from 1 species
UUAAGGUAAGUGCUGAGUUGUCUAUUAUGGAAAGGGAUUGGACUUUGAUUGUGGUUAUCCAAUUUUGGUAAUUAUUUAUAUUUUAUUUGGCUUUGGCUUUUACUUUUGCAAUGUUGGGGGAAUUCUGAAUAGGAGCUUUGGAUUUUGGUUGAUUAUGUUGGGUAGUUUCAAGUGUAGGAUUGGCAUUAAUGGUUAGGUUGAUGGUCAAUAAGGAUGCUGGAAUUUUUAUAUUGUUUUGUG